AGGCAGGGGGGUUGGAACUACGUGAUCCUUGAGGUCCCUUCCAACCCGGGUCAUUCUGUGAUUCUCUAAUGGCUCAGUGCCCCACUGGAGGCCAGCAAAGAGGGAUGUUCCUCAGGGAUCAGUGCUGAGAUUGGGGCUGUUUGACAUCAAUGUAGGUGAUGCAGAUUGUGGGAUGGUGUGCCAUGAUGUGUGGGGUGGAGGCCCUUGGGGAUGAGCAGCAUCCCAGUGCUAUUGAGUCCCACAUCCCAGUGCUGUUGAGUUCACAAGGUCCCUUCCAACUCCAGCCAUUCUAUGACUCUCUGGAUCUGUGCCUGUCGUCCUUGUCUCUCAGUUGUUUCCCAAGUGUGGGAGGCUGGGGAAUCAGGUUUGGGGUGGGAAGUGGAUUGUGUGGGGAGAUUGUUGCUGCAGAUCCUGGGAAGUUGCUGUGUAUUUGCAGACAAUGGCUGCUGUUGGUCACUGGGUGCCACUGUUGCUCUGAAGAACAGCUGUGCUGUGCAUGCAGCAGAGAUAGAAGCAUCACUUCUGCUCUAGUAAAAGGUCUCAUCUGCUGACAGGCUUUUGUACUUGAAUUCAGCACUCGGGACCUGUUGCCACAGAGGGACUAGUUGCUGAAGUUGGACGACUCUUUCUGUUUCAUCACUCAGACAACAAACAAAUUUGUGGAGUUACAACUCACAGACACCGAAAGAAAUAAAUUAAUUCCAGUAACUUUUGAAAAUAAAUGAGAAAAGCUGAACUGAGUGCUGCUAGAGAUGCUGUAUAAAUGUCAAUAAUGACAUUCCAAGCUGUAGAAGAGAUUUAAAACAUGAUGGGUACUCUGGCUUUAACCUGAAUCUGAAAGUUGUCUCUUGCAAUUGAGUUGUCUUUCUAUUGAAUAGAAAGAACUACUAUGAAGUAGUAUGACUGCAGUAAGCAGUGUACAUGGUGCGCUGUGAGUACUGCACACAUUCCUCUUGGCAGCUUGUGGAACAGAAACUGUGCAUUGUUUGGAUUGUGUAAGUAUUCCUGUUGGUCUCUUGUGAUGCUUACCUUCUUAGAGCACCUUUCCUCGUUUGGCUCUACAUAUUUUGGUACCUUACUUGUUCUGUUUGGCUUAGCAGGGAAGGUCUUCUGAAGCAUCCUCAGUCUUGGUCUGGGCAGCAUACUUAGAAAUGACAUGGACGUUACAUGAGUGGGUGGUCAAAGGGGGGAAGAACUCACCUUUCUGAUCUGUUUCCUUUUAGAACACAGUCCUGGAGAGGAUUUGCUUUCCUUGUUUCCUGGAGACUUGGAUUCUUAGAUGGUUUUGACUGCAGCUAUUUCUGAUGUUAAUUCCUUUUUCUGUACUUUAGUAGCCAAGUGCAAGUGGAGUGCUUUGGGAAUUGUCUGAAGUUGCCAGGUUGCGUGUGAUCACAUAUGUAACGUGGAGUUAUGUGUGGUGCCAGUGAUAAUUAAGUGUGAUGAACUGGAAGGCUUUCAGUAGAAUUGCAGCCCUAACAUAAACAAUGACUUGAACUCUGGAAUUCUGUGUAAAAUCAUUAGCUAGCUUGUGGUCCGGGUCUUCAAACCAAAGGCUGUGAGGUGCUGCUCUUGUUGACACAGGCUGUGAAAGAUGACUUGAGCUCUAAGAGUAAUUUCCCUUCUGCUCUUUAUAUGAACGUCAAAUCCACAAUUAGAAUAUUAAGAAGAUAAUAUAAAAUUUUGUGCUGCUGGACUGAGGACUUCCAUUAGCUGUUAGCCAUAGUUUGGAACUUGCAAAGCAAUCAUAUUUAGAUUUUAGUGAUGAAAUCUUCUGAUGAAAUCUUCCUUUUAAUUCUGCAAAAGAAUCUCAAUGGAACAUUUCUGUCUGAAAAGGCUCUGACAUAUGAAGAUGUGCCAGACUGCAGCCAUGUGCCAGAUGCGUUUGGAUCCAUGGAAUUUUCUGAUGUAGCUUCAGUGUUUGAAGAAUCUCCGCUCGAUCUAAAUACUCAGAGAACAAAGCAGAAACAGCAAGCAAGGGAACAAGUAAAGGAGUCAGUGAGGAUUUUAAAACACAAUGGGAAGCGAUAAGGCACAGCUGUGAUCAGAAAACCUUUUGUUCCGUCU